CACACACACACAGACACAUACAGACACACACACAGACACACACACAGACACACACACACAGACACACACACACAGAGACACAGACACACACACAGACACACACACACAGACACACACACACAGAGACACUGACAGACACACACACAGACACACACACAGACACACACACACAGACACACACACACAGACAUAUACAGACACACACACAGACUGACAGACACAGACACACACACAGAGACACAUACAGACAUACACACACACACACACACAGACACACACACACACCACACCACACCAGCAGCAGCAUCCCCAGACCCCUAUGGUCAAGAAUAAGACUUUCAGGUCUGAAACCUGGUACACAAGUCUGGGAAGAGUAGGGUUUCUCAGAAUUUGAGUCCCUGGUUUCAGUGAUUGUGGUCUUGAUGCUGUGUGUCCGCCCGCUGGUAGCUUUGUGUGGGCUCCCUGCCGACCAGGCAUUUCCAGAGAGCAAAAGCCCUCGGAGGCCACAGUAAGGCAGGCUCCUGCUGGUGAGAGGAGUCACAC
rnacentral:lncRNA from 1 species